rnacentral:misc_RNA from 1 species
CAAUGCGAUUCCGGUUUCAUCUGACGUCCAAUCGAGGUGAUUCAGGUGGCGUUGGAAAGCUGCUGGCCACUAUGCGCGCAUUGAUGGGGAAAACUCCUUCAUUUGCGCAACUGCUGGCGCUGCUCCGGCUAGCUCGCAGUUCGCCGGUGUCUCCUAGGGUGGGUGGACGCCUCACCAGCCGGCCAUGAUGGCUGGAGGCUCACCAGUCGAAAGAAAAA